rnacentral:rRNA from 1 species
GAUGAACGCUGGCGGCGUGCCUAAUACAUGCAAGUCGAGCGAACGGACGAGAAGCUUGCUUCUCUGAUGUUAGCGGCGGACGGGUGAGUAACACGUGGAUAACCUACCUAUAAGACUGGGAUAACUUCGGGAAACCGGAGCUAAUACCGGAUAAUAUUUUGAACCGCAUGGUUCAAAAGUGAAAGACGGUCUUGCUGUCACUUAUAGAUGGAUCAGCGCUGCAUUAGCUAGUUGGUAAGGUAACGGCUUACCAAGGCAACGAUGCAUAGCCGACCUGAGAGGGUGAUCGGCCACACUGGAACUGAGACGCGGUCCAGACUCCUACGGGAGGCAGCAGUAGGGAAUCUUCCGCAAUGGGCGAAAGCCUGACGGAGCAACGCCGCGUGAGUGAUGAAGGUCUUCGGAUCGUAAAACUCUGUUAUUAGGGAAGAACAUAUGUGUAAGUAACUGUGCACAUCUUGACGGUACCUAAUCAGAAAGCCACGGCUAACUACGUG